AGGCUCAGUAACACGUGGAUAACCUGCCCUUGGGUCCGGCAUAACCCCGGGAAACUGGGGAUAAUUCCGGAUAACGCACAUAUGCUGGAAUGCUUUAUGCGUAAAAUGGAUUCGUCUGCCCAAGGAUGGGUCUGCGGCCUAUCAGGUAGUAGUGGGUGUAAUGUACCUACUAGCCAACAACGGGUACGGGUUGUGAGAGCAAGAGCCCGGAGAUGGAUUCUGAGACAUGAAUCCAGGCCCUACGGGGCGCAGCAGGCGCGAAAACUUUACAAUGCGGGAAACCGUGAUAAGGGAACUCCGAGUGUCCGUAAAUGCGGACUGUCCGUAUGUUUAAAAAGCAUGCGAAGAAAGGGCCGGGCAAGACCGGUGCCAGCCGCCGCGGUAAUACCGGCGGCUCGAGUGGUGGCCACUAUUACUGGGCUUAAAGCGUUCGUAGCUGGAUUGUUAAGUCUCUUGGGAAAUCUACCGGCUUAACCGAUAGGCGACCGAGGGAUACUGGCAAUCUAGGGACCGGGAGAGGUGAGGGGUACUUCAGGGGUAGGAGUGAAAUCCUGUAAUCCUUGGGGGACCACCUGUGGCGUAGGCGCCUCACCAGAACGGCUCCGACAGUGAGGGACGAAAGCUGGGGGAGCAAACCGGAUUAGAUACCCGGGUAGUCCCAGCCGUAAACGAUGCGCGUUAGGUGUAUCGAUGACCACGAGUCAUCGAGGUGCCGAAGGGAAACCGUGAAACGUGCCGCCUGGGAAGUACGGUCGCAAGGCUGAAACUUAAAGGAAUUGGCGGGGGAGCAC
rnacentral:rRNA from 1 species